AUGUUACAGAAACUCCAGAUACUACUCCCCUUCAGUGGUCUGAGUUGCGCGGCGCUUUUCCGCCUGUCCGGCAGGGGGCGCCGCGCAGAAAGCCGCAGUCCCUCUGCGGAAGGCGCCGCUCUUGGCUUCGGCGGCGCCGCUGUAGCUUGGAGGCGGUGCUUCCUCCAGCAUUUGCCGCGAGUUAUUGGCAAGUUCCCCUGCAGUUGUUUGGGCUGUCGCUGUGGCUGGUUCUGCGGUGUGCGGCCAGCCAUGGAGCGCUCUGGGCCCAGCGAUGGUAAAAAACCUCGCACAUUUGACUUGGAAGCAAUGUUUGAACAAACUCGAAGAACAGCCGUGGAAAGAAGUCGCAAAACACUGGGUAAGAAGUUCAGAUAUUUGUCGUUUUAUUGGUUUAAGUACUAUGUAUACCUCAUGCAAGUAUAUUAAAAAAGAGAAAAGAAUGUUGGCUGGGCGCCGUGGCUCACGCCUGUAAUCCCAGCACUUAGGGAGGCCAAGGCAGGCAGAUCACCUGAGGUCAGAAGUUUGAGACCAGCCUGGCCAACAUGGUGAAACCCCAUCUCAACUAAAAAUACAAUAAUUAGUUGGGCAUGGUACAGGGGCCUGUAAUCCCAGCUAGUCGUGCGGCUGAGGCAGUAGCUUCGGUUGAAGUCGGGAGGCGGAGGUUGCAGUGAGCUGAUAUCCCCCCAUUGCACUUCAGCCUGGGGGACAAGAGUGAAAUUCCAUCUCAGAGAACAAAGAAAAAAAAGAAUGUUGUUAUGCUACUUGUCACUGUUGGUUUUUUGUUUUUUUUUUUUUUGAGAUGGAGUCUCACCCUGUUGCCCAGGCAUGAUCUCGGCUCACUGCAGCCUCCACCUCCCCAGUUGAAGCGAUUCUCCUGCCUCUGCCUCCCGAAUAGCUGGGACUACAGGCACAUGCCACCAUGCCCGGCUAAUUUUUUGUAUUUUUAGUAGAGAUGGGGUUUCACUGUGUUGGCCAGGCUGGUUUUGAACUCCUGACCUUGUGAUCCACCUACCUUGGCCUCCCAAAGUGCUGGGAUUACAAACGUGAACCACUGUGCCCUGCUUUUUGUUUUUUGGUUUUUUUUUUUUUUUUUUUUUUUUUUGAGAUGGAGUCUCGCUUUAUUGCUGGGCUGGAGUGCAGGGGUGCGAUCUUAGCUCACUGCAACUUCUACCUCCCCGGUUCAAGCAAUUUUCCUGCCUCAGCCCCCCAGGUAGCUGGGACAACAGGUGUACGCCACCACGCCCAGCUAAUUUUUGUAUUUUUAGUAGAGAUGGGGUUUCACCAUGUUGGCCAGGAUGGUCUUGAUCUCUUGAUCUUGUGAUCUGCCUGCCUCUUAAAGUGCUGGGAUUACAGGUGUGAGCCACCGCACCCAGCCCAAUUUAUCAUUUUAAAACCAACAAUGAGCCAGUUGUAGUGGCUCAUGCCUGUAAUCCCAGCAUUUUGGGAGGCUGAGGUGGGUGAAUCACCUAAGGUCAGAAGUUUGAGACCAGCCUGGCCAACAUGGUGAAACCCCGUCUUGACUGAAAAUAGAAAAACUAUCCGGGUGUGAUGGUGGGCACCUGUAAUCCCAGCUACUAGGGAGGCUGAGGCAGGAGAAUCGCUUGUACCUGGGAGGCAGAGGUUGUGGUGAGCUGAGAUCGCACCAUUGCACUCCAGCCUGGGCGACAAGAGCAAAACUCCAUCUCAAAAUAAAUAAAAUAAAAUAAAAUAAAAUGGGCGACAAGGGGAAAA
ensembl:lincRNA